rnacentral:rRNA from 1 species
AGGGAAUUUUCCGCAAUGGGCGAAAGCCUGACGGAGCAACGCCGCGUGAGGGAUGAAGGUUUUCGGAUCGUAAACCUCUGUCUAGAGGGAAGAUAAUGACGGUACCUCUGGAGGAAGCCACGGCUAACUACGUGCCAGCAGCCGCGGUAAUACGUAGGAGGCGAGCGUUAUCCGGAUUUACUGGGUGUAAAGCGCGUGCAGGCGGUUGGCUAAGUUGGAUGUGAAAGCUCCUGGCUCAACUGGGAGAGGUCGUUCAAGACUGGCCGACUGGAGAACAGUAGGGGAAGGUGGAAUUCCGGGUGUAGUGGUGAAAUGCGUAGAUAUCCGGAGGAACACCAGUGGCGAAGGCGGCCUUCUGGACUGUUUCUGACGCUCAGACGCGAAAGCUAGGGUAGCAAACGGGAUUAGAGACCCCGGUAGUCCUAGCCGUAAACGAUGUGAACUUGGCGCUGGACGGGUAAAACCGAUCAGUGCCGUAGCUAACGCGAUAAGUUCACCACCUGGGGACUACGGCCGCAAGGUUA